CGGGAUGUAAUUCAGCGGUCUAGAAGCCUUGGUUUGGGACCAAGGAGUCGUGGGUACCCUUUGGGAACGCUUCGCGAACAAAUCCUACCAUCCCGACCA
rnacentral:tRNA from 2 species